GGGCCGGGGCCGCGCGGCCCCUCUGGGAGCGCUGGGCCCGGCCCGGCCCCGUUCGGUUCCGUUCCGCUCGGUUCCCCCGCCGCUGCCCGGCCCCGGAGCUUCGGCCCUGCGGUGGAGCCCGGGCGCAGGAUGGAGGCAGCUGCUGUGCCAGGCCCGCCCGUGCCCCGAGCGCAGCCCCGCGGAGCAGCUCGGGCCGUGCGUUGCCGGGGCUAAUUUCAAAUUACUUUUUUGCAAAUCUGCACAGACCCCCGAAAUGGGAGCAGAAAAAAGCACAGGCACCAAGGUGUGUAACACAGCUGUUACCACAGAGACCUCUCAAGGAAGGGAAACCACGUGUAGCUGUGAUAAAGAGCCACAGUAGCAAUUAAAAUGAUCCUUAACUCGCUCUAUCUGUGGCGGAUGGUUUCAGUGGAGCCAUGUCCAAACCUCAUCCCUGUCUGGCCUUCCUGGGUGUCUGCUGAUGCCUCCAGCUCGGUGUUGCUCAAGCAGAGCUCCCAGCUCCUCUCAAUCCCAGCUGACAUCCCCACACCUUCACUCGGGCCCUGGAUGCCAUUGUGUGAUCUGGAACCCUUUAUCCAUCUCACCGGGAAUGGGAAUGGCUCCUGUCAACAAGUCUGUGCUCUCACUGUUCCUCCUAGCAAUUAACAAGUUCAUUCACAUUCCAA